UGGGCAAUUGUUUUUUAUUAUAAUUUAUAAGCCAAAGUAGUGGAAAUCCAUCACAUAAGGGGAGUAGGUUUUGACGCCUUGGAAAUCAGGAGGCUUUUACUUUGGGGUUUCCCGUUUGCUCUUCCUCCCCUUCUUCUUCGAUUGCUCUGCCUAAUUCUCCAUCGUUCUCCCGACUAAUUCCCCAUCUUUUUGCCCUGCAAAGUUUUCCAAAACCUAGUCAUGGCUCAUGGGUCAGGUCAAAUUCCUCAAGCGCAGCGAAGAUCCUAGAAAACGUUGCCUGCUCCGGCGAAGAAAUCUGAAGCAUCCAGGUGAUGAGGUGCAUUGAGAGGGAAGGGGAAGCACUGCUGACAUUUAAACACGGCCUCAUGGAUGACUACAAUCUUCUCUCUUCAGGAGGAAGAGAAGUCCACAAGCAAGAUUGUUGCAAAUGGAUAGGCAUCCAUUGCAGCAACCGAACAGGCCAUGUUACUCAACUUCGUCUUGGAUGGUAUUAUUUGCGUGAAGCUUACUCACUUCAACUGAAAGGACACCCGCAGUAUAUCCAAUAUUAUAUGCAAGGUGAGACAAUGAGUCCUAAAUUGAUUGAGUUGCAACAUUUGAAAUAUUUGGACCUUCAUUCCAUUAAUUUUAAUGGGAGCCAAAUUCCAAAUUUCAUUGGUUCUCUUUCCAAUUUAAGACACCUCGAUCUCUCUCUUGCUUCUUUUGGUGGUCAAGUUCCAAAUUAGAUCGGAAAUGUUACCCACUUGCAAUAUCUCGAUCUCAACCUCAAUGACUUUAACAAUGUAGAAAAUAUAAAUUCAUGGCUCCCUCGUCUUUCUUCUUUAACAUUUUUGGACAUGAGUUGGAACAAUCUCAGUAAUGCAUAUGACUGGUUUGAAGCAGUUAAUAAGCUCCCUAAACUUACAAACUUGACACUGCUCUAUUGUAAUCUUCCUUCGUUUCCAAUUCGUU